GACUCACUUUACUGUAAGUCGCUCUGGCUAAGAGUGUCUGCUAAAUGACUCAAA
rfam:Salmo salar isolate Sally breed double haploid chromosome ssa18, whole genome shotgun sequence.